UCUCUGACAGUUCUCUCUGACAGUUCUCUCUGACUGUCUCUCUGACUGUCUCUCUGCUUGUUCUCUCUGACAGUUCUCUCUGGCCGUCUCAAUGUGUGUUCAUGUUUGCAUGUGUGUGUGUCGACAACACCAAAUGGGUAGGGAGUGUGUAUCAUAGUGAGUUGUGUGGUGGUUCUAUCCAGAGAGAGAGAGGGAGCAGAUUGAAGGUUGUGUCUGUAUGAAAGACAGUCCUCAUCAUUAGCAAUACCUGGUGCCUUUCUGUGGGGUUUACCUGUGUGUGGGUGGGUGGGUUGGUGUGUGUGUGUGUGUGUGUGAGAGAGAGAGAUAUCUGUGUAGUUUAGUGUACAACCAGUGGUGUCAUACAGUUUGAUGGAAGUUGAUAUCAGAUUGUAUUCUUGAUAAGAGACGUUGUCAUCUGUCUGUAGGCCAGAUAUUGUUGUUCAGUUGAAGAUUCAGAGGUUAGCCUGGUUAGCCUGGUUUGGGCUAUCCCGGCAUGUCCUUGGUAUGACUGAGAGGCAAGGAGUGGCAUGAUGGCACAAACAGACUGGUACCCAGGCUAUAUGUCUUUAACCCUGUUGUCCUGUUAGCAGAGGGACUAGACACCUGUCUGUUUGUAAGGUGAUCACAUCCUACCGAAGGCUGUGGCAUGAUGUUUCGUCCACCGGUUAUUGUCAUGGAAAAAGACUGUCGGUCUCAUUAACCGUUAAUUAACAUGAAUACAUUUAGCAUCUCUAGGCCUCCGAACAAGCCGCUGAUGCGCGCCUUCGGGACAUCUACAUUUCAAAGUCUAAUAAAUUAAUGUCAUAUACACCAUCACAAUAAAGCCAUUGUUUAUUUUAA